UGAUGAUGAUGAUGAUGAUGAUGAUGAUGAUGAUGAUGAUGAUGAUCACAACCACCACCACCAUCAUCAUCAUCACUAUCACCAUCAUCAUCAACA
rnacentral:pre_miRNA from 1 species